GACGAACGCUGGCGGCGUGCCUAAUACAUGCAAGUCGAACGCAGUGGGGACGGGUGAGUAACACGUGGGUAACCUCCCAUCAGAGGGGAUCACACUUGGAAACAGGUGCUAAACCGAUACUGAUGGAUGAACCCGCGGUGCAUUAGCUAGUUGGUGAGGUAACGGCUCACCAAGGCCACGAUGCAUAGCCGACCGGAGAGGGUGAUCGGCCACACGGGGACGGAGACACGGCCCAGACUCCUACGGGAGGCAGCAGUGGGGAAUGUUGGACAAUGGGGGAAACCCUGAUCCAGCCAUCCCGCGUGUGCGAUGAAGGCCUUCGGGUUGUAAGACUUUCAGCGAGGAGGAACGUUACUCGCAGAAGAAGCACCGGCUAACUCCGUGCCAGCAGCCGCGGUAAUUC
rnacentral:rRNA from 1 species